AACGGUAAAUGUUUUGCUUUUAGUUAGUAGCAAUGUAACAUGGUUCCAAUUUUUAAAGCGCUUUAAAUGCGCUGACAGGAGGAUAUACCCAUGCAAAACGGGAAAGUAAAAUGGUUUAACGCAGAAAAAGGAUUCGGCUUCAUCGAAGUUGAAGGCGGAGACGAUGUAUUCGUACACUUUUCUGCAAUCCAAUCUGAAGGUUUCAAAUCUUUAGACGAAGGUCAAGAAGUAUCUUUCGAAAUCGUUGAAGGUGCUCGCGGACCACAAGCUGCUAACGUUACUAAACUUUAAUAGCGUGAUAAAAAGAGCCAGUCAUGGCUCUUUUUUUGU
rnacentral:other from 1 species